rnacentral:rRNA from 1 species
GGAAUAUUGCACAAUGGGGGCAACCCUGAUGCAGCGACGCCGCGUGAGUGAAGAAGGCCUUCGGGUCGUAAAGCUCUUUUCUGCGUGACGAGCAAGGACGGUAGCGCAGGAAUAAGUCUCGGCUAACUACGUGCCAGCAGCCGCGGUAAAACGUAGGAGACAAACGUUAUCCGGAGUUACUGGGCGUAAAGGGCGUGCAGGCGGUUGAUUAAGUCUGACGUGAAAGCUCCCGGCUAAACCGGGAGAGGUCGUUGGAGACUGAUGAACUAGAGGACGGUAGAGGCGAGUGGAAUUCCGGGUGUAGUGGUGAAAUGCGUAGAGAUCCGGAGGAACACCAGUGGCGAAGGCGACUCGCUGGGCCGUACCUGACGCUAAGACGCGACAGCAUGGGGAGCGA